rnacentral:rRNA from 1 species
UGGGGAAUUUUGGACAAUGGGGGCAACCCUGAUCCAGCCAUGCCGCGUGCGGGAAGAAGGCCUUCGGGUUGUAAACCGCUUUUGUCGGGGAAGAAAUCCUCCGGGCUAACACCUCGGGGGGAUGACGGUACCCGGAGAAUAAGCACCGGCUAACUACGUGCCAGCAGCCGCGGUAAUACGUAGGGUGCAAGCGUUAAUCGGAAUUACUGGGCGUAAAGCGUGCGCAGGCGGUUGUGCAAGACAGAUGUGAAAUCCCCGGGCUUAACCUGGGAACUGCAUUUGUGACUGCACGGCUGGAGUGCGGCAGAGGGGGAUGGAAUUCCGCGUGUAGCAGUGAAAUGCGUAGAUAUGCGGAGGAACACCGAUGGCGAAGGCAAUCCCCUGGGCCUGCACUGACGCUCAUGCACGAAAGCGUGGGGAGCAAACAGG